rnacentral:rRNA from 1 species
AGAGUUUGAUCCUGGCUCAGGACGAACGCUGGCGGCGUGCUUAACACAUGCAAGUCGAACGGGGUGUUUAUUUCGGUAAACACCAAGUGGCGAACGGGUGAGUAACGCGUAAGCAAUCUACCUUCAAGAUGGGGACAACACUUCGAAAGGGGUGCUAAUACCGAAUGAAUGUAAGAGUAUCGCAUGAGACACUUACUAAAGGAGGCCUCUAUAUAUAAGCUUCCGCUUGAAGAUGAGCUUGCGUCUGAUUAGCUAGUUGGUAAGGGUAAAGGCCUACCAAGGCGACGAUCAGUAGCCGGUCUGAGAGGAUGAACGGCCACAUUGGGACUGAGACACGGCCCAGACUCCUACGGGAGGCAGCAGUGGGGAAUCUUCCGCAAUGGGCGAAAGCCUGACGGAGCAACGCCGCGUGAACGAAGAAGGUCUUCGGAUCGUAAAGUUCUGUUGUUAAGGGCGAAGGAUGCUUAUUAUAAUACAGUAAGUAUUUGACGGUACUUAACGAGGAAGCCACGGCUAACUACGUGCCAGCAGCCGCGGUAAUACGUAGGUGGCAAGCGUUGUCCGGAAUUAUUGGGCGUAAAGGGAGCGCAGGCGGGAAAUUAAGCGGAUCUUAAAAGUGCGGGGCUCAACCUCGUGAUGGGGUCCGAACUGAUUUUCUUGAGUGCAGGAGAGGAAAGCGGAGUUCCCAGUGUAGCGGUGAAAUGCGUAGAUAUUGGGAAGAACACCAGUGGCGAAGGCGGCUUUCUGGACUGUAACUGACGCUGAGGCUCGAAAGCUAGGGUAGCGAACGGGAUUAGAUACCCCGGUAGUCCUAGCCGUAAACGAUGGAU